AAGAAACUCAUGGAGGAACAAGAAGAUUGGUAUCAUCUCCAUCAUCUCAUCUUCAUCAUUAUCCACUAUCUUCUUCACCAACUUCAUCAUGUUCUCCAUAUGAGGUGAGUUCUAGAUAGGAAUUAGCCAUUGGGGGAUAAAAUCUAUGUUUUGGGAGUUAGGAUUUGUGUGAAUCUCUGAUGAAAUUGUUGUUGUUCAUACUUCUCAUUGAUGUUAUGUGUUGGUACCAUGUUGUUGUUAUUGAAGUUGUUGUCUUUGAUUGCUU
rnacentral:lncRNA from 1 species